UAAUAUAUAAGAGAACUGCCAGCCUGAAACCCAUAUUGUGUAUUAACUUGGAUAAAUUCAACUAUGUAAUUCAAAUGCAUAAACUAUGGAACAAAAAGUGCUGAUAAAGAAUUAAUCUGUAUGUAAAAGUGGAAUUGCAACAAAAUGAUGUUGAUGUGGGACAAGAAAAAUUUUGUUCUCUAUUUCCUCAAAUUUGCAGAACUCGACGGUGGUUGAGAGAUCGUCAACUAAAUAAAUGCCGAGUGUAGAGGAUGGUAGGGGAUAGUCAAAAAAAGAUUCCUGAUGGUUGAAGGUGCUGUAAGCUACAUAAAUUUCAUCCCUGAAUGAAAUGAUAUUUUGCAGCUUUGCAACUUUACCGCCGAUGUAAACGUGACUGUUUGCCCGGUCCAAUUUAAGAGUGUAAGGGCUUGUCCUUAACUCUUUAUACUGUGUCGCUUCAUGAAAGGAUGCAGGUAGAGGACCAGUUGCAUGCUGUUUUUUGAGCAGAUGUGGCCUGGUUUUGUGAGGUUUUUUGCAGCUUCUUUGCAUCUCUGAGAAUCUUUUUAUUAUUUGACUCAGAGGGCAUGUUGGUUUCCUCAGAAGCCUUUUGAGUUUGUUCAGGUGAUUCUCAUACUUGAAAGCACUGAAGUUGUCUAGCACGCCAUGCUUUUUUGCAUCAUCUGCAAGAUGUACAAGGCAGUGUGCAUUAUAGGACAGGAAUUGUGGCCCAUACAGUUGACCGAAGUGAUUGACGAAGAGAACCAGUAUGUCAUUGGCAUAAUCACAGUAAUCUUCCAUCAGACUGUUGUUGCACAGGAUGAAGAUUCCCACAAAAAGCAGCAAGAAGUUUUUGUACACCUCUGUGGUAAGGAGAUCUUUCAACAUAACAGGUCCGGUAUACAGUAAAAACUGCCUGAACUCUGUUGCCUUCCACCUGUCAAUUUCCCUCAGUGCCCUUGGUUUCCUUGCGAACUCCAUGGGCACGCUUCUCUGAGCAUUCACUAACCUUUCUGUUAAUGUGUUUAUUUGAAAUCCCGACAGCCUACAAGUGAGAGGACCCAUCUUCAACCACAAGUGGAGAAGUCUUCUCAUGAUUCCGAGGCACACGAGGUGCAUGUAAUCGAGGGGGAUGCCAGAGACCAUGUCCAGGGAAGUUUGUUCAAGGGGUGACAUGCCAUGAUGGUGAUCAGAAUCGGUCUUGUUUCUGAAGCUCUCAUUGGUUCUUAGAGGCAUGUCGCUUCUUGGAAAUGUCAUCCUAUUUUUCAGGUACACUCCAUCCUGUGUGCAUUUUUCACAUCCAUGAUAGCCUGUGUGACCUUUGAUGUUUUUUAGGAAUGCACGAGCAGGUGCGUCGCAAACCAUCGAAGAAAGUUGUAAAGCUAACCUCACUCCUUCAAACUCAAAUCCAUUACCCAAUUCAUUUACUUCCGUGAUGAAGUCUUCAAGAUACUCGGUCAGUGAGGUAGGUUUACCUGUGCCACAAAAUAAACCUAUUGUCACUGGUUCUUCUUGUCUGAUAUUUUGCAGUGUUCCAAGAAUGGGCCAGAACUGUGUUGACGAACUCUUGUAGAGUGGCAGACCAUCGAUGUUGACCUGAAGCUCCAAUGUGUGAAUGUUGCUCAGAAUCUUGACAUUCUGAUGUAGCACCUCUGUGAUUGAAUUUAGUACUCCAAAAUGGUAAUACUGGCCACCAGCUUUGUGUUGUAUUUGAGGGUUCCCACGCACCGUUCCUAGCAACGUUCUUGAGUCUUUUGGCAGAUUCAAACUAUGUUGACGUAGUAUGUUUAGUAAUGAAUUUAAUGCCACGUGUGAGAUUUUGUUUUCAGUAGCCCAGGUUGCCAAAUCUUCUCCUAGGGAAGUUGGAUCGGUUUCAGACUCUGACUCGGGGUCUGAUUCACUGUCAUCAAGAACACUUGCCAUAUUGACAGCUUCAGUCUCGUCAAUCUGAGAGAGACAGUCCAUAAAUGUGUCUUCAUCAUCGAUUUGACAUUGACAGGCGUUACGGCAUGCGAUUGGCUGUUCGCUGCUGAUGUCACACUUUCAAGUGCGCGCGCUCCAAGAACUCCAGUUCAAAUCCCAAAUCGACGGAUGGACGGAGUUUGAUCGGCGUCAUGGUACCAGCAAAGCAUGCAUGUCUUGGUUUCGUGAACUUGACUAAAUCCCGACUGUGUGUUGCACUGCCAUCCUCGUACAGGCUCCUUCUGUGAUUCACCGAAGCGCGUCUGAAUUCAAGCUGGAAACGGCCUGUGCUUGGUCUGUCCCAGGGUGUCAUCGUCACUCACGAAGAAUUCUGUCCUGUUUGGUUUCCAUCAUCCAUCCUCUGGCAACUGGGCUGUGUAUGGAGGCCACCAUUUUCUCCCACAAACUCCACUCUCAGCUUUGAAGAUGGUUCAGCCUAGAUGCUCAGAUCUACCACUGGUCCAGCUUCAUUCCCACAUCUGGCACCAAAGAUUAAUUAAGUGCAGUCCAUAACCAGUGUGUGCACCUUGUCCAUUGCAAAUGUUAAGGAUUGUUCUAUUAGAGCUCAUUAUAAUCUUUGAGAUUGGCCUUAUGUAAAGGCUGUUGUGUGUUGUGAGUAAAGUUCACCCCCCUGUGAAACAGUUUCCCUUAGUUGUGAGAAUAUUUUACCUUCAUGCUCUCAGCAGUUCCUACAUUUAAAGUGUCUUUUUAUUAUUAUUUUUUAUUAUUAUUGAAAUAUUGCUUUAAUGUUCAAUCAACUUUGGGACAUGAUCAACUCUGGGAAGUUAGUAUCAUUAAUUCUGUAAGGUGCUUUGAAUCAAAUGAAUAUUUGUAUAGCGUGUUUCCUCCAAAGGCUGCUUUCUCAUUCCUCAAACAUCAAAAAGGGUCACCUUUGGUUUGCUAAUUGGAGUUUGUAAGCAUCAUUAUUUGGAACAAAAUAUGAAAAUGGCUCGGUGUUACACUAUUUCAGUGCAUGGCAGAGAGUCGAAGAACCACCUGACACAAAGCCAUGGAUCACCCCCUUAUACAGAGCAUGGUAGGCUAUUAGGGGUCAAAUUCAUGCUUUCUGCAUAACGAAAUUAUGUGAAAAACAGCUAAUAAGCAGGUAGAAUUACCGUUUGCUUGAAACAAGCUUACCUUAACUUGGCUGGCAAUUUUUUUUUUUUUUUUUUUUUUUUUUUUUUUUUUUUUUGUCUGAGGGAUCAAACAAAGGGAUAGAUGAACAAACUGGCUGUUUUACAUUAUAGGUUCCAGAAAGUGUUCAUAUGAGCUUGUAUUUUUAUUAGUAUUAUAAUUUAUAUAUUCUGAUUUGUAAUCAGAAGUCACCCUUUGCAAAUCAUUUAAAGCAUUUUAAAAAUUAAAUCCAUGAAUGCAGUGCU